GGCUUCGUAGAUCAAGGUAGAUCGCUCUCUUCCUGUUGUAUCAACUAGGAAAGGUACAAGAGAGAAUGCGGGUUCGAGUCCCGCCGAAGCCG